rnacentral:lncRNA from 13 species
GGCAAACACUUAUGACUUUGAAAUACGUUUAUUAGUCCCCGUUAUACAUCAGGGACAGCUUUACAUUACUUCGGAUAAUGUAGGAGCAAACGUAACCUUAGACUUCAAUGUAGUAACCA